rnacentral:tRNA from 2 species
GGGACGUUGGACAAAUGGUGAAGUUACAGCCCUUUCACGGCUGCGAUGCGAGUUCGAUCCUCGCACGUCCUA